rnacentral:rRNA from 1 species
GUAGGUGGCAAGCGUUGUCCGGAAUUAUUGGGGCGUAAAGCGCGCGCAGGCGGUUCUUUAAGUCUGAUGUGAAAGCCCACGGGCUCAACCGUGGAGGGUCAUUGGAAACUGAGAACUUGAGUACGGAAGAGGAAAGCGGAAUUCCACGUGUAGCGGUGAAAUGCGUAGAGAUGUGGAGGAACACCAGUGGCGAAGGCGGCUUUCUGGUCUGUAACUGACGCUGAGGCGCGAAAGCGUGGGGAGCAAACAGGAUUAGAUACCCUGGUAGUCCACGCCGUAAUCGAUGAGUGCUAAGUGUUAGGGGGUUUCCGCCCCUUAGUGCUGCAGCUAACGCAUUAAGCACUCCGCCUGGGGAGUACGGCCGCAAAGGCUG